UUUAAGAAUCUUAAAAUUUAGAUCACCCUGUCUGAUCUCGGAAGCUAAGCAGGGUCAGGCCUGGUUAGUAUUUGGAUGGGAGAUCACCUAGGAAGACCAGGUGUUGUAGGCA
rnacentral:rRNA from 1 species